rnacentral:lncRNA from 1 species
GCCAGCUCUGCCUCCUGGGUUCACGCCAUUCUCCUGCCUCAGCCUCCGGAGUAACUGGGACUACAGGCGCCCGCCACUGCACCUGGCCAAUUUUUUUUUUUUGUAUUUUUAGUAGAGAUGGGAUUUCACUGUGCUAGCCAGGAUGGUCGCGAUCCACCCGCCUCGGCCUCCCAAAGUGCUGGGAUUACAGGCAUGAGCCACCGUGACCGUCUGAUGUAAGUAUUUCCAGCUAUAAGUUUCACUGAGUACCCCUGUCACACCAUCUCAUAAAUUUUGGUAUCUUGCAUUUUAUUUUAAUUCAUCUGAAAGUAUUUCAAUUUCUCUAGUCAUUUCUUCUUUGAGCCACUGGUUAAGAAUGUUGUUUAACUUUCACUUACUUGCAAAUUCUCCAGGUUUUCCUGUUAUUGACUUCUAGCUUCAUUACACUUUUGUUGGAAAAGACACUUUGCAUAAUUUUUUUUUUUUUGAGACAGAGUCUCAGUCUGUUGCUCAAGGUGGAGUGCAGUGGUGUGAUCUCGGCUCAUUGCAACCUCUGCCUCCCAGAUUCAAGCAAUUCUCCUAGCUCAACCUUCCAAGUAGCUGGGAUUACAGGUGCCUGCCUCCACUCCCAGCUAAUUUUUUGUAUUUUUUAUUAGAGUUGGGGUUUUGCCAUGCUGGCCAGGCUGGUUUCGAACCCCUGACCACAGGUCAUCCACCCACCUUGGCCUCCCAAAGUGCUGG